UAUAGCGAAGCUGAUUUUACCCAGCAUUUAACUGUUAAUUAAAAGGUAGCCUUUAUAGGCCGUUAUAA
rnacentral:tRNA from 1 species